GUCAAUAUCCUGAUGUAGGAAUGUAGGUGUGGUGUGGUCAAUGGUCUGACCUACAGUCUUCUGUAAGUAUUUCUGCACACAGGGCAUCACGCAGCAACCCAGGAAGAGAAAGAGAAUUACCACAGUAAGAACCGCCAUACCUAUUUGAAGGAGAGUUUUCUGCCAUCCACUCAUCCAACCAAACCAUCUGUCCCAUGAAUUGGGGACUCCCGAGUUCUUUGUUAAUUCAUCAGAGAGACUUUCUAAUUUCUC